CACGUGAGGUUGCGUGCGCAAACUGCGGCUUUAAGAGACGUUUCCAGAACAGUGUCCGUUAGUGUCCGCUGGGAGAGGCGGAGCAGUCAGCCAGGGGCUGUGAUUGGAGCAGCAGUGGGACCUCCAUAAAGGCACAAGAAACCUGUCUACAGAUGGCUGUUACCCUAGGCAGACUGUUGCAGUCCAGGACCAUGAAAAAUGGUUGGGAGCCUGCUGAUGACUGUCCAUGAUCUGGAGUCCACGCAGCGGUCGGCAGCUGGUGUGAUUUCCAGUCUACCAGUGUGACUAUCAGGCUUGCUACCUGACUUGAAGUGGAGAAUACAUCAAAAUUCAGAUCCCAAAAUCAAACUGAAGCCGAACAGAACAAGG